UUCCUCCUCUAGUGGCCUUCAGAAUGACAGUGGAAACACUUUCCCUUUGUCUUAGCUACCUUUGGACCAUCCUUCUUCAGCUUGCUCUCUUUCUUUUGCUUCUUCGUGGAUUUAGUCUUCUUCUUUCUAGUAGACUUUCUCUUAAAAGAAGAAGUCUGCUCCACAGCGAGAAUAAUGCCCCUUGAACUCUUCAAGGUACCCUCUAUAGUGACCAAUAUGUUGAUG
rnacentral:lncRNA from 1 species